CAAGAGUAAUUAUGGUGAGAGUGGAGGAAGAAGAAGACAAAGACAUAAGUUUUGUUUAUGUUUAUUGUAACGGCUAGUUUUACUUCUUCGGCCAAACAAAAAGAAACGGGAAGCGAGAGAAACAUGACCAACGGCUAUAAAGCCAUUUCGACCGUUUUAAUCUUAAUGAUUUAAUUAAAAUGUCUCGAUAGUCGUUGGAUGGUACAGAGAUUGUGACCGUGGGGGUCGUCCUAAUAAUAAUUGUUCCAAACUCGCUAAUCUAUAAUUCUAUUUUUAUGUUCAGACAACAACAAACUAAAAAGAUUCUAUCCUAUGACUCGGUCAAAAGUUUGACACUUUUUCGGCCACAUCAACACUACCAGCAAUAGUAAACACAUAUGUAUACACGGUAACAUUCCAAAAUCCAUAACGUGGCCCAAUUCAAGCCCAACUCCAUCGGCUUGAAAAUUCGGUGAUUCGGAAUAGGAUGUCAAAUUGGAUUUUCCGGAGUAUAUCCAGUUGAUUUGUUCGAGUGAAAGGUUUAUGGUUGUAUAGUAAAAGAUUGAAAAAUUUAUACUUACAGACACAUUCUCACUUUUCAUUUACACAUAAAGACACUUUCUGCAUGACACACAUUUUUUUUAGAUGGUUUGUCAUUUCUACCCUCAACUAAGCUACCAAAAUACAUUUCUAUUUUCCUAACUAAACACAAAUUGUCCGGUUACCAAACAAAUAAAGUAAAAAUAUACAAAAAGAUUUAUUCUCUCUCCUCUUUCGAUUUACGAUUGACUUUCAAAAUCACUUUCCCAAUUUUAUGAACCCUAAUCGUGACAAUUUCUUUUCUUCCUCUCCUUCCUCUCUAUGCGCUCUAUUGACGUCACUGGUAACGGAGGCGUCGUCGCCGUCAGGAUCUGUUCUCUCGAAUCCUAUCUUCAUCAACAAGCUCUUCUUACCUCUCGUUCCAUCUCUCAGCCAUGGAGUUACCAAAUCUCGUUCGUCGAAUCAAAAGUGACGUCUCCAAAGUCACUGAACUCACCUCCAUCAAACCCUUUGAGCUCCUCCGUGGAUACUGAAGCCAGUUUGGGAUGUGUUUUCACUCAUGAAAACAGAGGAGAAGAGACAAAAGUUCACAAACUCUAGAAUUUUUUGUAAGUAAAUCCGGAGAGAUGUUGCAUCCACAUAUUAAAACAGAUAUUGUGUUGCUUUGUUCUAAGGACACAACAACUCUGCAGAUGUCCGUUCAUACUUUUUUGUAUCAAUGUCCACAAAUUUAGUCAUACUGACUAAGGAAAGAAAAACCAUUAAAAGCUUUGUUGGACAAAGUUAUAACC